UAGCUCGCCGAGGCUGGGCAGUGGGAGAGGCUCUCAGACCGACGGCAAGUUCUGGCACCUGCCAGGAAGUUAGCUGUCUUCUGGCCUGGAAGCCUGAAGUCUUGUGCAGAGCUCCUGUGCAGGCAGAGUGUGCUGCCCCCUGGCCCUCAGGACCAGACUCACUGUGUGAUCCUGUAUCACAGGAGCAGUGGAAGACCAACGCGGGCGUGACGAGCGGGGCUAAGCCUGUGCGGGUGGCAGAGAUUAAAACCACAACAGGACCAUGUCAUAAGUAGCUCUACAGUCCUAGAAUCAGUGGAUACAUUCCUCAAAAAAAAAAAAAAAAAAUCUAACUUGCCAAUACCGGCUGAAGGAAAUUGACAAGACCGGAAAGUCCAAAUGGCAUUUAAAAAGUUGAGUAAGUAAAAAUUUCCGGCAAGAAAACAGAAGCUCCAGUCGGUUUUGUGGACUGGUUCUACCAAAUAUUCAAGGAAGAGAGAAUUCAAUUUUUUUUUUUUUUACAUUUAUUUAUUUUUUGAGAGACAGAGAGAGACAGAGCACAAGCAGAGGAGGAGCAGAGAGAGAGGGAGACGCAGAAUCCGAAGCAGGCUCCAGGCUCCGAGCUGUCAGCACAGAGCCCCACGCAGGGCUCGAACUCACAUGACCUGAGCUGAAGUCAGAUGCUUAACCCACUGAGCCACCCAGGUGCCCUGGGGAGAAUUCGAAUUUUAAACUGUCCCAGAGAGUGGACAGAAUCCAUGUAUUUUAUGAGGUUAGACUUGAUAAGAACAGUGUGAGAAACGAAAUUCCAAUCUCAUGAACUUAGACUUAAAAAAGUCCCUGAGACAAUUAGGCAAAUGAAUCUAGCAAUCCUUUAUCCUAGGAAGCCAGGAUUGUUAAAAUUUAGAAGAUCUAUUACUUUUUUUAAAGUUUAUUUAUUUAUUUUUGAGAGAGAGUGCAUGAGCAAGGGAGGGGCAGAGAAAGGGAGGGAGAGAAUCCCAAUCAGGCUCUGCGCCAUCAGCAGGGAGCCCCACGUGGGGCUGGAACUCAUGAACCAUGAGAUCACGACCUGACCCCAAAUCAAGAGUCAGACGCUUAACCGACUGAGCCACCCAGGUGCCCCGAAAAUCUAUUACUUUUGAAUCCCCACUAGAAAAACCGCAUGCUCGUUCAAUAACUACAGGGAAGACACUUCGUAAAAUUCAAACCCCAUUAAUAGUAAAAACUCCCGGCAUGUGGGGGUGAAAGUGAACUUCCUUAAUCUGCUAAAAGGCAUUUACACUUGUAUGAAAUAGAAAGAAAAAAAAAAAAAUUACCCCAGGAGGCUAAGCACAGCUGGCGGGAGUUUCUGUUGGUGCACCUGUUUGCGAAGGGAUUGGGUCACCUAGUGACACUGAAGAUGUGCGUGCCCUGUGAGCCAGCAUCUCCGGUCCUGGGCGUCCAUCCUCGGAGGGAAGGCAGACACGCACGUGAACGUCUGCGGAAGCGUGUCCAGAACGCCUGCCCCCUGGGGGUCACAUAAGAUGUAUUCAGAACUUAAUUUUUUCAAAGUAGUGAAAAUGAGUGAACUGCGUGUAGGAUAACAAAGAACGUCUCAGGAAAAUACAUGUUUGUGUACAAGACCUAGAACAUGCAAAUCUAAGCAGUAUAUGAGAGAUUGAGAGAGGGCCCGAAGGACUGGUAAUUAAAACAAUAAACUAAAGACGGGGCGCCUGGGGGGCUCAGUUGGUUAAGCCGCCGACUUCGGCUCAGGUCAUGAUCUCACAGUUCGUGAGUUCGAGCCCCGCGUCAGGCUCUGUGCUGACAGCUCAGAGCCUGGAGCCUGCUUCGGAUUCUGUGUCUCCCUCUCUCUCUGUCUCUCUCUCUCUCAAAAAUAAAGAAACAUUGGGGAAAAAAAUGCCUGCUUCCUUCGUACUGCUUUCUUGCCGGCCUUAUACCGAAAGCGGGCCUGCUUAGUGCCUGGAGGACUGAGCUGUUCUGCUCAAGGCAAUCUCCCUUUCUCCUCCAGUAUUUCGGUUCCUCAGGCCCUGUUUUCUGACAGAUAAUUCAUAAGAUAACAGAUACUGUGGUUGUGGACGCAUUGAGGAUGUCGGCUAAGUGAUUUGCCUCUCAUCAGAACUUGAUGGCGCUUCGAGGAAAACCCAGUCGUGGGGGGUGAGGGAGGCCAGACUGGGGAUCAGUUCUGAUCCCUGUGAAAUCUCAGCACCAACGCGUCGGUAAACUUUGUGAUGGGAAAGAUACCAUUUUAUCCUUUCUUUCCAAUAUUAAAUGAUGUAAGAAGCACGAUACUGUGUAAUCCUGAGCCCGGCCAUGCGAUGAAAACAUCUCAGUGUGUUUAAAGUGUAUGACAGAGUUCAGGGGCACCUGGGUGGCUCAGUGGGUUAAGCGUCUGACUUCAGCUUGGGUCAUGAUCUCACGGCUCAUGAGUUUGAGCCCCGUGUCAGGCUCUGUGCCGACUGCUAGGAGCCUGGAUCCUGUUUCAGUUCCUUUGCCCCCCUCUCGCCCGC